AGAAAUGCAUUCUGAAAUACAAAAUGUAAGUUGUGGACACCAGCAUUUUGUUAAUGUUCUGGUGAAACAAACAUAUUCACUUUGUUUGGGUUUAAAAUAUGCUCUGAAAAGAAAUGUUACAAAAAUGAGUAGCUCUUGGCCAUUUUCAUUUUGUAAAAGUAGCUCUCACAAGGAAAAACGUUGGUGACCCCUGAUCUAUCCUGUACACGUUGAUGAAUAUGCUUUCUUUCUAACUUGUGUGUACAAUCAAAAGGUGUAGAGGGAAACAGUACAGCAAACCUUCCCACACCAACCAACACAUCCACUAUCAAUGCAUCUUCAGGUAUUCACCACAUCAUCAGAGUCAGACAACACUUGAGCAGAGGCGGGUGCACAAACUGGUGGGUGUCCAGAUGGUGUGGGUGUUGAUCAGGGGAUGCAUGUGUUGACAUCACAACUGGGAUCUUUUGUAUGACCACCAUCAGCGUUGUCACUCCUGCUGGAAGCUCUGUGAAGGAAUGAAAACAAGGCAGCAAAAGCUUUGUUUUCACACCAUUUUAAAACAUGAAAUGAGUCAUUUUUGUUGUGAAGACCAGGAGCUGAUGAGGCAGGAGCUAGGUGGCUGCUGCUGACACGCAGGCAAUUGAUCCCCAUGCACCAUGUACAGUCUCAUAUGGAGGGCAGAACUACAGGACAACACACGAGAUCACAUGAGUCGGCCCACUGCUUGCACUAGAGAAGUAACAGAUGAUGCCAACAUUAGGAGCUCUUCCACACCUGGGCUUUUGGAUUGUGCCCUUCAACAGGUACGUGAUCAUCAGCACCUGUCAUGUGCCACGCCACUGAUGGAUGUUUCUCCCUUAACACAACAAGCAGUUGAGCUGGAGAAUACCAGUCAUGGUGAUGAUACCAACACACAUGGUCACAUGACUAACACUUGGACCCACGGAGAGGAAGACGUCAACAAUUCCAGCAGCAAAGAUGAACUUGAUAGUGAGAACUCUUCCACGACCAGCCUGUUGGAUGUGGACAUUCAAGAGGUACAUUGGGGUGGGGGAUCCACUAGGCCAGGUUUGUUGGCAUAGUAAUACACCUCAGAGGGCCUCCAGUGACCCCCUCACCCAAGUGCCAACAGUGCCCACGUGUUACAAUACAUCUACAAGUAGUUCGAGGUUGAAGGCUCUAGUAAUUUUAAAAGGUGUACACUAAGUCCCCAACUAAGGAACACAAUUGGUUCCAGAUGACCGUUCUUAAGUGGAAUUGUUCUUAAGUAGGGGAAAAGGUAAUAUUACCAAUAAUAUAGGUACUACAUGUACGUGAAUACAUAUACAGUAUAUAUGUAUGUAUGUAAAUAUGAGUUUGGAUGCAGUAGUAAUAUUAAACCAGGAUAAUGAAUGAAAAAAACAAUAAUAAAAAUGAUAUAAUAAUACGUAAUGAUAAAUGUUAUUUACCUUUGAGGAGGAGUGGUCGAGCAUACGUCGUUGUGGUGGAGUUGGAGGAGGAGAUAUUGAAAAAAAGGACAAAUGGUGGUGGUGGUUAGACUCUUCUAAAAGAGGUAGUGUUCUGUGCAGGCCCGUAACCAGGGAAGGUUCGGGGGGGUUCGAACAAACUCCCCUGCGGGCGACCAAUGGUCUGCUUGGUUAAAAAAAAAAAAAAAAAAAAGCUGCUAUCAAAGUGUGCAAUUGUAACGGAGUGUAGAUGUGCUGUGAUAAAUGAUGGCAGAAGUGUUGCAACAGCGCCUGUUGCUGGUGAAUAGUGGCAUGUGCAAGUUGCUGCAGGAACUGCUCACAACUGUUAGAAUGAGACAUGGUGAGUCACGUUUUUGCACUGUCCGGGAUAUUUGGUGAUGUAAUGUUUACUGUGUGUUUAGAUUUUGUCAUGUACAAUGUCAUGUGCAUUUGAUAGUGUUCACUAUUUGGAAAGAGCCAGUCUGCACUUUUGAGUGAAGUUUUAUAGACUUUAAUGCGAAUCAUUUAUGUAAAUGCAGAUGAUCCCGUGACCAAAGUCGACGCUCAUCUGUCAUUCCUCUGUAAAAGUGUUGUUCCAAGUAAUAUUCUAUGUCAUUGUGACUAUGUUGUCUUCAAUAUGCGGUUUCUACUUGUUGGUACUUUGCUAAUGCUAAUUGCUGGGCCUCGUUUAGUAUUGCACCACUGAUCUGUAUUAUAUAUCUGGAUAGCUCAUUGGCGAUGACUUGUGAAGGCAAAUGGCCGCCAUAAUGCAACUCGCAAGAAACACUUCUCGGGCAAGCUUUUGCAUUCAUGGUGAACUUCUUUUAUUAAUUCGGAUUGGACCCAAAUUUCGACUUAAGAUGCCUGCAUGUCCAGCUAUUAACUGCACAAAUUGCCAGUUCAAAGGCUGUGGACGAACAUUUCACGUGUAAGUAUGAUUGAAAUGUAGAUUUAUGAUUGAUCAUUUAAGGGUUUUGCACUAUCUCUCAGAUAUUUUCGAUCGUGUAAAAUUCCUCUGAUUAAAUGUAUGUCCAGAAUUGAUACGUUUAUCGAGCUCUAUGAUAGCUAAGAGGAAAUGUACUUUUUUGUUAUAUCAUGACAUAUGUAUUUCUUUAAGGGAGGAAGGUUGCGUUACUUGAAGGAAUGGGAGAAUCUCAGUGCUUCCAUGAUGCUUACCAGGCAUUGUAUACAGUGCAGUUAGCAAGCCAGUUUGCAUACAAUUGACCCGGCAUGACCCUUCAUUUGGAUAAACAACCAUUUUUUUUUUUUUUGCUGCUGAAUGACUGACGUAAAAGGAUUUAUUCGUAUGAUAUGUUCUGGAAAAUAAUAUUACUGAACAUGCAUACCGGUAUGUUUGAGAUUGCAAACAACGUAUUGUCUUACCCAAAGCAUAUGGUUUUGUUUCAGUGUUGUUUUUUUCUGUGUGUGUGUGUGUGUGUGUGGGUGUAUGUGUUAUGGUUACUGCUGCCAGACCACAACCAGUUGCCAGUUAUUCCUUUGCCUACCCUGCGUCCUGUACCUUCUUUCCCUGGCUUCCAACUGGUCUCCAUUGCUCCUUUCCUUGCUGCCAUUGUGUUUACUAGUAUCGUGUAUGUUCCUGCUCUGUAUGCCGUUUUUGCUACAGCUUUCUUAUUUAUUACUUAGUUUUUCCUCCUGCUUGCCA